GGUUCGAUUCUGGCUCGGAAUUGAACGCUGGCGGGAUGCUUUACACAUGCAAGUCGAACGGCAGCACGGACUUCGGUCUGGUGGCGAGUAACCCGAACGGGUAGGUAAUGUAUCGGAACGUGCCUAGUAGCGGGGGAUAACUACGCGAAAGCGUAGCUAAUACCGCAUACGCCCUUCGGGGAAAGCGGGGGACCCUUCGGGCCUCGCACUAUUAAACAGCCGAUAUCGGAUUAGCUAGUUGGUGGGGUAACGGCUCACCGGGCGACGAUCCGUAGCUGGUUUAAGGGGAAGAGGACGACCAGCCACACUGGGACUGAGACACAGCUGGCCCAGACUCCUACAGGAGGCAGCAGUGAAAUUUUGGACAAUGGGGAAACCUGAUCCAGCCAUCCCGCGUGUGCGAUGAAGGCCUUCGGGUUGUAAAGCACUUUUGGCAGGAAAGAAACGGCGCGGGAUAAUACCCCGUGCAACUGACGGCUACCUGCAGAACCGGCACCGGCCCAAGCGCAUUGCCUGGCAGCCGCCGACAAUACACGUAGUGACGUUAAUCAGAUACUGGGCGUACAAAGCGAUGCGCAGGCGGUUCGGAAAGAUGUGAAAUCCCAGAGCUUAACUUUGGAACUGCAUUUUUAACUACCGAGCUAGAGUGUGUCAGAGGUGGAAUUCCGCGAUAUCGCUUGGUGUGCCGUAGAUAUGGAGAACACCGAUGGCGAAGGCGACCUCUGGGAUAACACUGACGCUCAUGCACGAAAAGCGUGGGAGCAAACAGGAUUGAAUACCCUGGUAGUCCACGCCCUAAACGAUGCUCAACUAGCUGUUGGGGCCUUCGGGCCUUGGUAGCGCAGCUAACGCGUGGACUUGACCGCCUGGGGGAGUACGGUCGCAAGACAAACUCAAAGGAAUUGACGGGGACCCGCACAAGCGGUGGAUGAUGUGGAUUAAUUCGAUGCAACGCGAAAACCUUACCUACCCUUGACAUGUCUGGAAUCCGAAGAGAUUUGGUGCUCGCGAAGAACCGGAACACAGGUGCUGCAUGGCUGUCGUCAGCUCGUGUCGUGAGAUGUUGGGUUAAGUCCGCAACGAAGCUGACCCUUGUCAUCGGGUGCUACGAAGGAGCACUCUAAUGAGACUGCCGUGCUGGAAACCGGAGGAAGGUGAGGAUGACGUCAAAGUCCUCAUCAGCCCUUAUGGUGAAGACUACACACGUCAUACAAUGGCCGGGACAGAGGGUCGCCAACCCGCGAGGAGCCAAUCCCAGAAACCCGAUCGUAGUCCGGAUCGCAGUCUGCAACUCGACUGCGUGAAGUCAGAAUCGCUAGUAAUCGCGGAUCAGCAUGUCGCGGUAGAAUACGUUCCCGGGUCUUGUACCACCGCCCGUGCACCGUAAGGAGUGGGUUUUACCAGAAGUGAUAGUUAGCUUCUAACCGUAAGGGCGAUUACCACGGUAGGAUCCAUGACUGGGGUGAAGUCGUAACAAGGUAG
rnacentral:rRNA from 1 species